UACGUAGGGUGCGAGCGUUGUCCGGAAUUAUUGGGCGUAAAGGGCGCGUAGGCGGUUUCGCAAGUGGUGGGUGAAAUCCCUCGGCUUAACCGAGGAACUGCCCUCCAAACUGCGUUGCUUGAGUCCGGGAGAGGUGAGUGGAAUUCCCAGUGUAGCGGUGAAAUGCGUAGAUAUUGGGAGGAACACCAGUGGCGAAGGCGGCUCACUGGACCGGAACUGACGCUGAGGCGCGAAAGCGUGGGGAGCAAACGGG
rnacentral:rRNA from 1 species